UACAGAGGGUGCGAGCGUUGUCCGGAAUCACUGGGCGUAAAGGGCGCGUAGGUGGCCUGGUAAGUAGGGGGUGAAAUCUCGCGGCUCAACUGCGAGGCUGCCUCCUAAACUGUCAGGCUCGAGCAGAGUAGAGGCAGGUGGAAUUCCCGGUGUAGCGGUGGAAUGCGUAGAGAUCGGGAAGAACAUCGGUGGCGAAGGCGGCCUGCUGGGCUCUUGCUGACGCUGAGGCGCGACAGCGUGGGGAGCAAACAGG
rnacentral:rRNA from 1 species